rnacentral:other from 1 species
AGUGCUCGACCCUGUGCGAGCCCUCGUCCUCAAAGUAGAACCAACACCAAGUGAAAGGGAGCCCGCGUUCGGCUAGGGCGUUGCCCGAGGCCGGCAAGGCACCCACCUGGCAGUGCCAGGUUCGCUACGGGCGCGGGACACCGGCAGGGUGGGGCACUU